rnacentral:rRNA from 1 species
UACCAGCACCCCGAGUGGUCGGGACGAUUAUUGGGCCUAAAGCAUCCGUAGCCGGUCAUGCAAGUCCUCCGUUAAAUCCACCUGCUUAACAGAUGGGCUGCGGAGGAUACUACAAGGCUAGGAGGCGGAAGAGGCAAGCGGUACUCAGUGGGUAGGGGUAAAAUCCUCUGAUCCAUUGAAGACCACCAGUGGCGAAGGCGGCUUGCCAAUACGCGCUCGACGGUGAGGGAUGAAAGCUGGGGGGAGCAAACCGG